GAUGAACGCUGGCGGCGUGCCUAAUACAUGCAAGUCGAGCGAACAGAUGAGGAGCUUGCUCCUCUGACGUUAGCGGCGGACGGGUGAGUAACACGUGGAUAACCUACCUAUAAGACUGGGAUAACUUCGGGAAACCGGAGCUAAUACCGGAUAAUAUAUUGAACCGCAUGGUUCAAUGGUGAAAGACGGUUUUGCUGUCACUUAUAGAUGGAUCCGCGCCGCAUUAGCUAGUUGGUAAGGUAACGGCUUACCAAGGCGACGAUGCGUAGCCGACCUGAGAGGGUGAUCGGCCACACUGGAACUGAGACACGGUCCAGACUCCUACGGGAGGCAGCAGUAGGGAAUCUUCCGCAAUGGGCGAAAGCCUGACGGAGCAACGCCGCGUGAGUGAUGAAGGUCUUCGGAUCGUAAAACUCUGUUAUUAGGGAAGAACAAAUGUGUAAGUAACUAUGCACGUCUUGACGGUACCUAAUCAGAAAGCCACGGCUAACUACGUG
rnacentral:rRNA from 1 species